CCUACGGGUGGCAGCAGUGGGGAAUAUUGCACAAUGGGGGAAACCCUGAUGCAGCGACGCCGCGUGAGUGAAGAAGUAUUUCGGUACGUAAAGCUCUAUCAGCAGGGAAGAAAAUGACGGUACCUGACUAAGAAGCCCCGGCGAACUACGUGCCAGCAGCCGCGGUAAUACGUAGGGGGCAAGCGUUAUCCGGAUUUACUGGGUGUAAAGGGAGCGUAGACGGCAGCGCAAGUCUGGAGUGAAAUCCCAUGGCUUAACCAUGGAACUGCAUUGGAAACUGUGCAGCUAGAGUGCAGGAGAGGUAAGCGGAAUUCGUAGUGUAGCGGUGAAAUGCGUAGAUAUUAGGAGGAACACCAGUGGCGAAGGCGGCUUACUGGACUGUAACUGAUGUUGAGGCUCGAAAGCGUGGGGAGCAAACAGGAUUAGAUACCCCAGUAGUC
rnacentral:rRNA from 1 species